rnacentral:rRNA from 1 species
AUUGAACGCUGGCGGCAUGCCUUACACAUGCAAGUCGAACGGCAGCAUGAUCUAGCUUGCUAGAUUGAUGGCGAGUGGCGAACGUGUGAGUAAUACAUCGGAACGUGCCCUGUGGUGGGGGAUAACUAGUCGACAGAUUAACCAAUACCGCAUACGACCUGAGGGUGAAAGUGGGGGAGCGCAAGGCCUCAUGCUAUAGGCUAGGCCGAUGUCUGAUUAGCUAGUUGGUGAGGUAAAGGCUCACCAAGGCGACGAUCAGUAGCUGGUCUGAGAGGAGGAUCAGCCACACUGGAACUGAGACACGGCCCAGACUCCUACGGGAGGCAGCAGUGGGGAAUUUUGGACAAUGGGCGAAAGCCUGAUCCAGCAAUGCCGCGUGUGUGAAGAAGGCCUUCGGAUUGUAAAGCACUUUUGGCCGGAAAGAAAUGGCUCUGGUUAAUACCUGGGGUUGAUGACGUUACCGGAAGAAUAAGGACCGGCUAACUACGUG